rnacentral:rRNA from 1 species
GUAGGUGGCAAGCGUUGUCCGGAAUUAUUGGGCGUAAAGCGCGCGCAGGCGGUUCUUUAAGUCUGAUGUGAAAGCCCACGGCUCAACCGUGGAGGGUCAUUGGAAACUGGAGAACUUGAGUACAGAAGAGGAAAGCGGAAUUCCACGUGUAGCGGUGAAAUGCGUAGAGAUGUGGAGGAACACCAGUGGCGAAGGCGGCUUUCUGGUCUGUAGCUGACGCUGAGGCGCGAAAGCGUGGGGAGCAAACAGGGAUUAGAUACCCUGGUAGUCCACGCCGUAAACGAUGAGUGCUAAGUGUUAGGGGGUUUCCGCCCCCUUAGUGCUGCAGCUAACGCAUUAAGCACUCCGCCUGGGGAGUACGGCCGCAAGGCUG